rnacentral:rRNA from 1 species
UACGUAGGGGGCGAGCGUUGUCCGAAGUUACUGGGCGUAAAGGGCGCGCAGGCGGCUCAGACAGUCAGAUGUGAAAGCCCCGGGCUUAACCUGGGAACUGCAUUUGAUACUACUGAGCUUGAGUACGGGAGAGGAUAGUGGAAUUCCCAGUGUAGAGGUGAAAUUCGUAGAUAUUGGGAAGAACACCGGUGGCGAAGGCGGCUAUCUGGACCGUAACUGACGCUGAGGCGCGAAAGCGUGGGGAGCAAACAGG